rnacentral:rRNA from 1 species
UACGAAGGGGGCUAGCGUUGCUCGGAAUCACUGGGCGUAAGCGCACGUAGGCGGAUCUUUAAGUCAGGGGUGAAAUCCCAAGGCUCAACCUUGGAACUGCCUUUGAUACUGAGGAUCUUGAGUUCGGGAGAGGUGAGUGGAGCUGCGAGUGUAGAGGUGAAAUUCGUAGAUAUUCGCAAGAACACCAGUGGCGAAGGCGGCUCACUGGCCCGAUACUGACGCUGAGGCACGAAAGCGUGGGGAGCAA